AUCUUCAAGGGCAAUUCCACCACUGUCUGGGCAUGGACACUCACAACAUCACUGACCGCUCUGACCACAUGACCGCCAACUGCCACUGGGUCCAUCAUAUCACAAAUACAAGUUCCUCAACCUGGCUCAGGCAGCCCCUGCCUGGUUUCUGCCUUGCCCUUGGUCUUCUCUCCUGGGGGCCUGCCAGGCAUGAGCCAUCUGGGCACUACCACAGAUCACGCAGCUGGUUAACUUCAAAGCUGAGACCAAAAUCCAGCACCAUGCGUCCAGUGCUCUUUCUUCUGCAACAACUACAGAGUAUGUGGCAACCACAUAGCUCUGAUGUCCUUCUUUGUCAUGGCAUCCAAGGAUGGCUGAAUGAACAUCAUGUACAAUGUACUGGAGAUGGUUGCUGUGGACAAGCAGCCUGUGACCAACUGCAAUCCCUGGAUGUUGCUGUACUUCAACCCUUCCUGAUUAUCAUCACCUUCUUCAUGUGUGUGGGUAUCACAGUGGAGAAUUCCACAAGUGCCAGGAGCACCAGGAGGUUGACGAGGCACUGCAGUACCUGGAGAAGAAGCACCAGAGUGAGUGGGCACCUGCGAAGGGCAUGGGCCACCAAGCUUUGGCCCCUCUGCCUUGGCCUGACCCCAGCCUCCUAG
rnacentral:lncRNA from 13 species